rnacentral:rRNA from 1 species
GGAGUUUGGGCCGUGUCUCAGUCCCAAUGUGGCCGUUCACCCUCUCAGGCCGGCUACUGAUCGUCGCUUUGGUAGGCCGUUACCCUGCCAACUGGCUAAUCAGACGCGGGUCCAUCGUAUACCACCGGAGUUUUUCACACUGUAAGAUGCCUUACUGUGCGCUUAUGCGGUAUUAGCAGUCAUUUCUAACUGUUAUCCCCCUGUAUACGGCAGGUUACCCACGCGUUACUCACCCGUCCGCCACUAAGUCUUCCCUUCACUUCAGACGAAUCAUCAGAUCUGGGAGCUUCGUUCGACUUGCAUGUGUUAAGCACGCCGCCAGCGUUCAUC